AUCCAGCUGACGGGUUUAAAAUACGACGAAAUGUGCGUUCUGGAU
rfam:Schistosoma haematobium scaffold640_7, whole genome shotgun sequence.